UGGGGAAUUUUGGACAAUGGGCGCAAGCCUGAUCCAGCCAUGCCGCGUGUCUGAAGAAGGCCUUCGGGUUGUAAAGGACUUUUGUCAGGGAAGAAAAGGCUGUUGCUAAUAUCAGCGGCUGAUGACGGUACCUGAAGAAUAAGCACCGGCUAACUACGUGCCAGCAGCCGCGGUAAUACGUAGGGUGCAAGCGUUAAUCGGAAUUACUGGGCGUAAAGCGAGCGCAGACGGUUACUUAAGCAGGAUGUGAAAUCCCCGGGCUCAACCUGGGAACUGCGUUCUGAACUGGGUGACUAGAGUGUGUCAGAGGGAGGUAGAAUUCCACGUGUAGCAGUGAAAUGCGUAGAGAUGUGGAGGAAUACCGAUGGCGAAGGCAGCCUCCUGGGAUAACACUGACGUUCAUGCUCGAAAGCGUGGGUAGCAAACAGGAUUAGAUACCCUGGUAGUCCACGCCCUAAACGAUGUCAAUUAGCUGUUGGGCAACUUGAUUGNUCAGUAGCGUAGCUNACGCGUGAAAUUGACCGCCUGGGGAGUACGGUCGCAAGAUUA
rnacentral:rRNA from 1 species